CCUACGGGCGGCUGCAGUAGGGAAUCUUUCACAAUGGGCGAAAGCCUGAUGGAGCAACGCCGCGUGCAGGAUGAAGGCCUUCGGGUUGUAAACUGCUUUUAUAAGCGAGAAAUAUGAUGGUAACUUUUGAAUAAGGAUCGGCUCACUACGUGCCAGCAGCCCCGGUCCUACGUAGGAUCCGAGCAUUAUCCGGAGUGACUGGGUGUAAAGAGUUGCGUAGGUGGCAUAAUAAGUAGCUAGUGGAAUCUGGUGGCUCAACCAUUCAGACUAUUAGCUACACUGGUAAGCUCGAGACCGUUAGGGGUAACUGGAAUUUCUAGUGUAGGAGUGAAAUCCGUAGAUAUUAGAAGGAACACCAAUAGCGUAGGCAGGUUGCUGGGACGGUUCUGACACUAAGGCACGAAAGCGUAGGGAGCAAACGGGAUUAGAUACCCUGGUAGUC
rnacentral:rRNA from 1 species